CAGCACCUCAAGUGGUCAGGAUGAUUAUUGGGCCUAAAGCAUCCGUAGCCGGCUCUGUAAGUUUUCGGUUAAAUCUGUACGCUUAACGUACAGGCUGCCGGGAAUACUGCAGAGCUAGGGAGUGGGAGAGGUAGACGGUACUCGGUAGGAAGGGGUAAAAUCCUUUGAUCUAUUGAUGACCACCUGUGGCGAAGGCGGUCUACCAGAACACGCCCGACGGUGAGGGAUGAAAGCUGGGGGAGCAAACCGGAUUAGAUACCCGAGUAGUCC
rnacentral:rRNA from 1 species